CCUACGGGUGGCAGCAGUGAGGAAUAUUGGUCAAUGGCCGGAAGGCUGAACCAGCCAUGCCGCGUGAAGGUCAGUGCCCUAUGGGCGUUAAACUUCUUUUGUGCGGGAGCAAUAAUGGUCACGUGUGGCCAGACGAGAGUACCGUACGAAUAAGCAUCGGCUAACUCUGUGCCAGCAGCCGCGGUAAUACGGUGGAUGCAAGCGUUUUCCGGAUUUAUGGGGUUUAAAGGGUGCGUAGGCUGGGAGGUAAGGCAGCGGUGAAAUGCCCCCGGUCAACGGGGUGAAGUGCCAUUGAUACUGCCGUGCUGGAAUGCCGAUGCGGUAGGAGGAAUGUGUGGUGUAGCGGUGAAAUGCAUAGAUAUCACACAGAACACCGAUUGCGAAGGCAUCUUACGGAUCCGCGAUUGACGCUGAUGCACGAAAGCGUGGGUAUCAAACAGGAUUAGAUACCCGAGUAGUC
rnacentral:rRNA from 1 species